rnacentral:tRNA from 1 species
GCCCGGCUAGCUCAAUUGGCAGAGCGUGUGACUUUUAACUCACUAGCAAUUUAUCUCAGAUAUCUGUUAGCACUUGAAAUCACAAGGUUCGGGGUUCGACCCCCCGGUCGGGCA